rnacentral:rRNA from 1 species
GGUUUACAGGUGGUGCAUGGUUGUCGUCAGCUCGUGUCGUGAGAUGUUGGGUUAAGUCCCGCAACGAGCGCAACCCUCGUUCUAUGUUGCCAGCACGUGAUGGUGGGGACUCAUAGGAGACUGCCGGGGUCAACUCGGAGGAAGGUGGGGACGACGUCAAAUCAUCAUGCCCCUUAUGUCUUGGGCUUCACGCAUGCUACAAUGGCCGGUACAAAGGGUUGCGAUACUGUGAGGUGGAGCUAAUCCCAAAAAGCCGGUCUCAGUUCGGAUUGGGGUCUGCAACUCGACCCCAUGAAGUCGGAGUCGCUAGUAAUCGCAGAUCAGCAACGCUGCGGUGAAUACGUUCCCGGGCCUUGUACACACCGCCCGUCAAGUCACGAAAGUUGGUAACACCCGAAGCCGGUGGCCUAACCCCUUGUGGGAGGGAGCUGUCGAAGGUGGGACUGGCGAUUGGGACUA